rnacentral:rRNA from 1 species
UAGAUAACCUAUUAUUAAAAAUGUAAAUUUUUUUACUUAAUUAGUAUUAGUUAUGUUCUUGAAAAUUAAAAAAUUUGGCGGUAUUUUAGUCUUUUCAGAGGAACCUGUUCUAUAAUCGAUAGUCCACGAUUAGAUGCACUUUAUUUAUUAGUUUAUAUAUCGUCGUAGUUUAAAUAUUUUAAUAGAAUUAUAAAUAUUUAAAAUUUUUUAUUAAAAAAUAAAUCAGAUCAAGGUGUAGUUUAUAAUAAAGAAGAAAUGGGUUACAAUAAAUUUAUUUUAAAAUAAUUUUUGUUAAAAAAAUUUGAAUUUGGAUUUGAGAGUAAUUUUUUAGAUUUUUUUAAGAUGAUUAAAGCUCUAAAAUAUGUACAUAUCGCCCGUCGCUUUCAUUUUAAAAUGAAAUAAGU